CAACUCUCAACAACGGAUAUCUUGGCUCUCAGAUCGAUGAAGAACGCAGCGAAAUGCGAUUCGUAGUGUGAAUUGCAGAAAUACGUGAAUCAUCGAAUCUUUGAACGCAAAUUGCGCUCGAGGCUUCGGCCAAGAGCAUGUCUGCCUCAGCGUCGGGUU
rnacentral:rRNA from 2 species